AGUGAACGCUGGCGGUAUGCCUAACACAUGCAAGUCGAACGGCAACACAUUAAUAGAUUGGUCGUAGGGGGGGCGAGUGGCGGACACGUGCGGAUUACAGCGGAAUCUACGCUUUCAUCGGCUAUAACUUACCGAAACGUUCGCGAAUACCGCAUACGACCUACGCGUGAAAGCACGGGAUCUUCGUACCUUGCUCGAUGGAGUAAUCCGAUGUCAGAGUAGAGAUUUGGCGGGGUAAAGGGCCGCCAAGGCGACGAUCCGUAGCUGGUCUGAGAGCCUGAUCGGACCCACUGGAACUGAGACACGAUCCAGACUCGUACGGAAGGCAGCCGUGGGGAAUAUUGGACGAUGGGAGCAAGCAUGAUCCAGCCAUACCGCGUAGGUGAAGAAGGCCUUCGGGUUGUAAAGCCCUAUUGUUGGGAAAGAAAAGCAGCAGGUUAAUACCAAGAUGUAAUGACGGUACCCAAAGAAUAAGCACCGGCUAACUUCGUG
rnacentral:rRNA from 1 species